rnacentral:rRNA from 1 species
AACGAACGCUGGCGGCAGGCCUAACACAUGCAAGUCGAACGCCCCGCAAGGGGAGUGGCAGACGGGUGAGUAACGCGUGGGAAACUACCUCUUGGUGCGGAAUAACUUCGGGAAACCGGUGCUAAUACCGCAUACGCCCCCCGGGGGAAAGGUUUAUCGCCGAGGGAUGGGCCCGCGUCGGAUUAGCUAUUUGGUGAGGUAAAGCCUCACCAAGGCGACGAUCCGUAGCUGGUCUGAGAGGAUGAUCAGCCACGCUGGGAUUGGGACACGGCCCGGACUCCUACGGGAGGCAGCAGUGGGGAAUAUUGGACAAUGGGCGCAAGCCUGAUCCAUCCAUGCCGCGUGAGUGAAGAAGGCCUUAGGGUUGUAAAGCUCUUUCGACGGGGAAGAUAAUGACGGUACCCGUAGAAGAAGCCCCGGCUAACUCGUGCCAGCAGCCGCAGUAA